rnacentral:rRNA from 1 species
GAUGAACGCUGGCGGCGUGCCUAAUACAUGCAAGUCGAGCGAACAGAUAAGGAGCUUGCUCCUUUGACGUUAGCGGCGGACGCGUGAGUAACACGUGGGUAACCUACCUAUAAGACUGGAAUAACUCCGGGAAACCGGGGCUAAUGCAGGAUAACAUGUUGAACCGCAUGGUUCUACAGUGAAAGGCGGCUUUGCUGUCACUUAUAGAUGGACCCGCGCCGUAUUAGCUAGUUGGUGAGGUAACGGCUCACCAAGGCAACGAUACGUAGCCGACCUGAGAGGGUGAUCGGCCACACUGGAACUGAGACACGGUCCAGACUCCUACGGGAGGCAGCAGUAGGGAAUCUUCCGCAAUGGGCGAAAGCCUGACGGAGCAACGCCGCGUGAGUGAUGAAGGUCUUCGGAUCGUAAAACUCUGUUAUUAGGGAAGAACAAAUGCGUAAGUAACUGUGCGCGUCUUGACGGUACCUAAUCAGAAAGCCACGGCUAACUACGUG